AGCUAGUUGGUUUWUAAUAAUAGAGUUUUUBCUGCCCAAUGYGUGGUUAAAUGGCCGGGUAUUUUGACCGUGCAAAGGUAGCAUAAUCAUUUGUCUCUUAAUUGGGGACUGGAAUGAAAGAAAGUUUGAGAUCUAGUCUGUCUCUUUUUUAUAAAUAGAAUUUGCUGUUUUUGUGAAGAAGCASAGUUGAAAAAAAAAGCAAGAAGACCCUUUUCAGCUUUACUUUUUUCUUUUGAGCCUUUUCUUUUAAAUAGUAUUUUGUUUWGGGAGUUAAAGUUUGGUUGGGGUGACCAAAGAAGAGUAGAUCUCUUUUUGUAAAAAAACUUUUUGUUUUAGAAUGACCCGGGAGUUCCCGUUUGAAAGAAUUAGUUACUAAAGGGAUAACAGCGUAAUCUUUUCAGAGAGUUCAAUUGAAGAAAAGGGUUGCGACCUCGAUGUUGACUUGCUUUUUCCUUUUAAGGUGUAGAAGCUGUGAGGGUUGGUCUGUUCGACCAUUAAAAAACU
rnacentral:rRNA from 1 species